rnacentral:tRNA from 1 species
GGGGAUGCAGCUCAGUGGUAGAGUUCUUGCCUAGCAUGUGUGAGGCCCUGGGUUCCAGCCCCAGCAACACCC